rnacentral:lncRNA from 1 species
UAAGCUAUCAUACCCUAUAACAUAAAAGUGAAAUGAAACGAACUAUCGGACGACAUAAGUGCACAUAAGUGUCUCAUCAUACGACAUAUAUAUGUCGUUGGUUUUCCACAUAUAGUCUAAUAAUUUUCCAAACUUAACAUCAGACGACAUUAUAUUGUCAUUAGAACCUCAUCUAACCACAACAGUUGAAUGUAUUUGUCGUUGAAGGUUUUGUGGUUCGACGAUUAUAUGCAGUGUAAAGUUGUAUCACACCACAUCUAUUUCGAAAAAACCUUAAUUUUUCUUGUUUCAGUCGACAUAUAUAUGUUUUAUGUCUUUAACUCAGACGACAUAAGUUCGCAAACCCUCUACACUUGUCAAAUUUAAAACGACAUAUGUUCUGUCGUCUGACCAACAUUCACAUGGCAGUGGAAAACUGUUGUCUGAUAGCCUAUCAGACGGCAAGCCCUCAGACGACAUAUAAUUUUUGGUCAGACAACAGUGCUCAACUGUCGUCUGAUGCUGUUUUUGGCAUAGUGUAUGAAUAACUAAACAACUUUUAGCUAUUUACCUAAGAGCGAGGCUCUGGGUUUUGUAUUUGUAUUUAUGUUGGAAUAAAUAAAUUCUAUUUUAUGCUUUACAAUCCGUCAUAGAAAUAUUUAGUUAAUAGUGGCAUAAUUAUAUAUAUAUAUAUAUAUANNNNNNNNNNNNNNNNNNNNUUUUGUUUGAAGUUUUGGGUGAUCUCGCCGGAAAACUGGAAUUCGGCGGACUCGCCGGAGAUGGAAAGAGGUCGGGGAAGCUACUGGAGUCCGCUGGGGUGGAGGCGCGCCCUCGCCGGUGCUCGUCGGUCCCGUAUGGUGGCGAAAGGAGGGACAUCCGCACCUGAUAACGUCUAUAUAUAUAUAUAUGCUCUUGUGUUACUUUGUGUUUAAGAAUACUUUGCUUUUUGAUUUAAGAAUUUUCAUACUAAGACAGCAGUGAUUCCGUCAUAAUUUGUAACCAUUUAAACAGGAGGUUGUUAGGUGAAAGGUUAGCAUGUUGAAGGCUAGUUCUUAGGUUGGAGAAUUUUAGUUUCAUAAAAGUAAGAUAAGAUAAAAAAAAUAAAAAUAAAAAAUAAAACUUAACAGAAUAGUUACUAAAAAGUACCGGAGGUAUCCCUUUGAUAGCAAAUUAGGAGUAUAAGUACUACAUUAACUACUUUGAAAGUUUAGGUAUCACAUUGACUUGACACAAGAGUUGGGGGAUUAUCAGUGAACGUUUUUCUUAAUUUUAUACAUAUAGUUCAGAGGAUAUUUUAAUGCAAUGUUUAUUGUUGGUUGGUGACUGUAGACGAGUCUUUUAGGAUGCAUCAUCACAUCUGUAGUAGAUUCCACUAUGGCCGUCUGUCUCACUCUCCAAUCUCCAUGCUUCACAUGGGAAGCCAGGGGAUGGGAUUCAUAUCUUUAACAGCCAAUACCAUUGUCCCCCUUCCAAGUCCCAACAACCAAGCAAUGUAUCAUCUUUCUUUUCUCAAUUACACAAGACAUCAUCAAUUAUUAAUGUCUUAUUUUCCUGUUCAUAAUGCACAUAGUUUUCUAAACAAUAGAAUUUUAUACGAGUCUUUUAGGAUGCAUUGACAUUUGAAACGUACCCAGAGGUGUUUUGCUUUAAUCAUUAUUGCCCUUUAAAAUAUAAAUAUAUAUAUAGCCGUUCGAGAGCGGACGUCCGCAUUCGGUUUAAAGUGCGGAGUGCAGACGUCCCUCCGUUCUCCACUGUUCGGCGCCGGUGAGGGUACGCCUCCACCCCAACGGACUCCAGCAGCGUCUCCGACCAUUUUCUCUCCCCGGCGAGUCCGCCGAAUUCCAGUUUUCCGGCGAGAUCGAUGUUGUUUGAAAUUUUGGGUGAUCUCGCCGGAAACUAGGAAUUCGGCGGACUCGCCGGGGAGAGAAAGUGGUCGGGGACAUUGCUGGAGUCCGCUGGGGUGGAGGCGCGCCCUCGCCGACGCCGUACGGUGGCGAACGGAGGGACAUCUGCACUUUAAGGCCGGUGUGGACGUGCGUCUCUGAUCCGGCCUGUAUAUAUAUAUAUAUAUAUAAGUGCAAGCUGGUGUGAUAAGAUACUUCAAUAUCAAAAUCAUUAGCAACAUUAUUUAUUAGUGUCUUGUUUAUGUUUGAUGUUUUAUAUUUAUGAAUUUGGGAUUGCAACUUUUCAUUUUGAGAUGGUGCAUAUUUGCCGUGUUAAAUGAUACUUUGGUACACAAUUAACGAGCUAGCCGUAAUGAGUUAUGCUAGCUUUGAUGGAGUUAUAAUGUUUCAUAAUAUUUUAAAAAGUUUUAUUAUACGUUUGUUUUAACUAAGAAAAAUUAGCUUACAGUAAAAUAGAGUUGAAUUGAUACCUUUUUUUUUUUAAAGAAAAAAAAUGUACAACAAUAGCUCGUAAACUAUGACCUCAUACUCAUAGGCUCAUACUUAACAGUAGUAAGCACAAUUCGACCGAGGAAUCAGACUUUGAACUUGAUCUGGUAUGUUGACUGCUGACCGAUCUACAAGACAAAAUGCUAUAAUAUCGUGUUCUAUCAUCUGCCGUUGCAAAAUAGCCAAUUUGGUCUAAUUUACUCUCGACCUUCUAGAUAACUAGACUGCAUUUUCUUCUUUAGUCAAAGUCUUCUUCCUACGUUAACAAACAAAAUGGCAACUUUGUUGACGAACAAAAGAAACAGGGGCAAAAAAGGGAAUUGACAAAUGAGUGAAAGGAAUUGGCGGGCUUGCAACGAAGAAACAAACACACAAAAGUAAAAAAGGCCGAAUGAGAGCUAUCAAUCGAGAAAAAGAAAACCGAGUGUAUCAUUCAAUUAACAUGGUGUUCGGCUGCGUCUUGACGACGUCCUGGGAAUUGUCUGCUCUGCUCUCUUUCCUCGAUUCCUCUUCUUCUUUUUCUUUUGUUGAAAAGGGGUGUGUGGUUUUAUUACGAAUUAAUUCAUGGAAAACUAGGCAGAGUUUUAACGAAACUUGUAUAAAAAAUAACGGACACCGGAU